AACACAGAGUCAAAAUAUUACACAAGUUGUAUCUAAUAAAAAAGGAUAAACUUUAAAUACUCAUGUGGUUUCGCACGUUUUCAUUUUAAUACUCUGUGGUUUAAAGUGUAUCAAUUUAGUAUUCUGUGGUUUUAUUUUUCUCUUUUCGUUAGCCCAUCCGUUAACUUUUUCUUAAAUCAAGAUACCCACCUAUAGUUUAUCGAUUAUGCACUUUAAAACCCUUUAGUUUUAUCUUUGUCACUAAUUUAACGAAAAAAAAAAUUAGUGGAGAGAUAAUAGAAAGAGAAAAAUAAAAUCACAGGAUACGAAAAUAAUACACUUUAAACUACAAUAUACUAAAGUAAAAAAGUGCGAAACCAUAGAGGCGAUAUUUGUUUUUCCAAUAAAAAAGCACAUUCACAUAAAUCAAU
rnacentral:lncRNA from 1 species